CAGAGUUCAUGCCCUUCGGGGUAGAUCUCCCACCCGUGUAUUUAUACCUUUGUUGCUUUGGCAGGCCUGCCUCGGCCACCGGCUCCGGCUGGUGAGCGCCUGCCAGAGGACCCCAAACUCUGAAUUUAAUGUCGUCUGAGUACUAUAUAAUAGUUGAAACUUUCAACAACGG
rnacentral:misc_RNA from 1 species